rnacentral:rRNA from 1 species
GACGAACGCUGGCGGCGUGCCUAAUACAUGCAAGUCGAACGCAGUGGGGACGGGUGAGUAACACGUGGGUAACCUCCCAUCAGAGGGGAUAACACUUGGAAACAGGUGCUAAACCGAUACUGCUUGAUGGACCCGCGGUGCUUUAGCUAGUUGGUGAGGUAACGGCUACCCAAGGCCACGAUGCAUAGCGGGCCGGAGGGUGUGUUCGUCCACCCUGGGACUAAGCAAGGGCCCAGACUCCUACGGGAGGGAGCAGUAGGGAAUCUCCGGAAAUGGACGAAAGUCUGACAGAGCAACGCCGCGUGAGUGAAGAAGGUUUUCGGAUCGUAAAAAUCUGUUGUUAGAGAAGGGGUAUCUAACAAGAAAGCCACGGCUAAAUACGUGCCAGAAGCCGCGGUAAUC